rnacentral:rRNA from 1 species
CAUAGGUUAAUGAGGCGAACCGGGGGAACUGAAACAUCUAAGUACCCCGAGGAAAAGAAAUCAACCGAGAUUCCCCCAGUAGCGGCGAGCGAACGGGGAGCAGCCCAGAGCCUGAAUCAGUGUGUGUGUUAGUGGAAGCGUCUGGAAAGGCGCGCGAUACAGGGUGACAGCCCCGUACACAAAAAUGCACAUACUGUGAGCUCGAUGAGUAGGGCGGGACACGUGGUAUCCUGUCUGAAUAUGGGGGGACCAUCCUCCAAGGCUAAAUACUCCUGACUGACCGAUAGUGAACCAGUACCGUGAGGGAAAGGCGAAAAGAACCCCGGCGAGGGGAGUGAAAAAGAACCUGAAACCGUGUACGUACAAGCAGUGGGAGCACGCUUAGGCGUGUGACUGCGUACCUUUUGUAUAAUGGGUCAGCGACUUAUAUUCUGUAGCAAGGUUAACCGAAUAGGGGAGCCGAAGGGAAACCGAGUCUUAACUGGGCGUUAAGUUGCAGGGUAUAGACCCGAAACCCGGUGAUCUAGCCAUGGGCAGGUUGAAGGUUGGGUAACACUAACUGGAGGACCGAACCGACUAAUGUUGAAAAAUUAGCGGAUGACUUGUGGCUGGGGGUGAAAGGCCAAUCAAACCGGGAGAUAGCUGGUUCUCCCCGAAAGCUAUUUAGGUAGCGCCUCGUGAAUUCAUCUCCGGGGGUAGAGCACUGUUUCGGCAAGGGGGUCAUCCCGACUUACCAACCCGAUGCAAACUGCGAAUACCGGAGAAUGUUAUCACGGGAGACACACGGCGGGUGCUAACGUCCGUCGUGAAGAGGGAAACAACCCAGACCGCCAGCUAAGGUCCCAAAGUCAUGGUUAAGUGGGAAACGAUGUGGGAAGGCCCAGACAGCCAGGAUGUUGGCUUAGAAGCAGCCAUCAUUUAAAGAAAGCGUAAUAGCUCACUGGUCGAGUCGGCCUGCGCGGAAGAUGUAACGGGGCUAAACCAUGCACCGAAGCUGCGGCAGCGACGCUGAUGCGUUGUUGGGUAGGGGAGCGUUCUGUAAGCCUGUGAAGGUGUGCUGUGAGGCAUGCUGGAGGUAUCAGAAGUGCGAAUGCUGACAUAAGUAACGAUAAAGCGGGUGAAAAGCCCGCUCGCCG